rnacentral:tRNA from 1 species
GAGGGUUUAGCUCAGUGAUAGAGCACAUGCUUAGCAUGCAUGCGAUCCUGGGUUCAAUCCCCAGUACCUCCA